CAAGACCCGAGCCGAAGCCUUGCUAGCCGAGCCACCUUCAGUUUUAGCCGUCUGCAACAUAUUUAAGCCCUUGGUUAAGGUGUGGUUGAGGAAUUGAAUUGUGCAAAUUUCAAUUUAAGGUUGUAUUGAGAUCAACUUUAAAUCUUUGGGGUAAGUUUGAUUGAAUUGGUUGCCUAAUUAAACAGUAAA